GAUGAACGCUGGCGGCGUGCCUAAUACAUGCAAGUCGAGCGAACAGACGAGGAGCUUGCUCCUCUGACGUUAUCGGCGGACGGGUGAGUCACACGUGGAUAACCUACCUAUCAGACUGGGAUAACUUCGGGAAACCGGAGCUAAUACCGGAUAAUAUAUUGAACCGCAUGGUUCAAUAGUUAAAGACGGUUUUGCUGUCACUUAUAGAUUGAUCCGCGCCGCAUUAGCUAGUUGGUAAGGUAACGGCUUACCAAGGCAACGAUGCGUAGCCGACCUGAGAGGGUGAUCGGCCAGACUGGAACUGAGAAACGGUCCAGACACCUACGGGAGGCAGCAGUAGGGAAUCUUACGCAAGGGGGGAAAGCGCGACGGAGCAAAGCCGCGUGAGUGAUGAAGGUCUUCGGAUCGUAAAACUCUGUUAUUAGGGAAGAACAAAUGUGUAAGUAACUAGGAACGUCUUGACGGUACCGAAUCAGAAAGCCACGGCUAACUACGUG
rnacentral:rRNA from 1 species